UUCAUGGGCAAGGCUUUUUGAAUUUGUCUUGAAGAUCACAGUAGAGCUGUGGGGCCAUAUCAUUAUCACUAGCAUUCUCCAAGGGACCUCGAAGAACAGAACCGGGUCCAACAUUUAUACUGAAGAAUAACGAUAAAAUCAAGCGUUGUGAUUCAAUCAUAUCUCCCGGUCCAGACAAAUUCAAAAAGCCUUGCCCAUGAA
rnacentral:misc_RNA from 1 species